UUGCCAUUCGUUCUCUCAAUUUUGCUUUCACACUCACUUUCUUUCACUGCUGGAUGUGCUCUUUUUCUUUCUAUUUCGUUUCGCGUCAUAAUUCUUCGGUGAAAAUCCAGAAGUGUUUAUAAUUUCAAAUUAGUUUUAAAUAUUUGACUAGCUAUGGCUGAUAGUGAUGAUGAAUAUGAUCGGAAAAGACGCGACAAAUUCCGCGGCGAAAGAGGUGCUGCUGAAAGUAGCUAUAGAAGUAGUGAUCGCCGCGAGGAGCGUAGCCGGGGCCGAGAAGAGUGGUCCGAAAGAUCUCGCGGCGGUCGUUCUGGGCCGGACUACAGAGACUACCGCGGGGGAGCGAGUGCUAGCCGCGGGUAUUCACCUGUGCGCGGUGAGGGCCCCCCUAGCAAGCGUAUUAGGCCAGACUGGCCUAUAGAUGACCGAAGAUAUGGAGGCAUGCCACAUGAUUCUUAUGGGUCAUAUGGCUGGGCUCAUGAUCACUUUGGACCGCAUCCGGCACACCAGGGUUAUGGGCAGCCGAUGCCACCAGUACCCGCAAGAGAUUAUGAUGUCAGGGAUGCUGUCCUGCCUAUGGGUGCGGUGGAUGGACCCCCAACCAUGAUGUCCUUCAAAGCAUUCCUUGCUGCUCAAGAUGACUCGAUCACAGUGGAUGAUGCCAUUCAGAAGUACAAUGAAUACAAGCUAGAAUUCAGAAGACAACAGCUCAACGAGUUCUUUGUUGCUCAUAAGGAUGAAGAAUGGUUCAAGAUCAAAUACCACCCUGAGGAAUCUGUCAAACGGAAAGAAGAGCAGUUAGCUGCAUUGAAGAACCGUCUAAACGUUUUCCUGGGAUUAUUAGAAGUUGGGGAGUUGGACAAAGUGUCAGUAGAUGUGGAUAAGUCUGACAAGCUGAUUAGAUUACUGGAUACUGUCGUGAUCAAGCUUGAAGGAGGCACAGAAGAAGACCUGAAAGCUCUCGAUGAACCGCCAAAUGAAGAACCAACUACUAAAGAAAAACCAGUUGAAGCAGACAAACCUGUGGUCAUUGAUGUGGAUGCUGUAAAGGUGAAAGAAGAAAAGGAAGAAGAAAACGCGGAUAAAAAUGACAAGGAUAAGACUGACAAGAAGGAGGACCCGGACAAGCCAACAGCGCCUCUCACCAUGGAGAUAGAUCCGCAUCUCAAGCAGUUGCAAGAGCAAGCCAAGCUGUUCUCUCGCUUCAACUCCGCGCCCGGUGACGAACCGGAGGGUGAACCCCAGGAGAAGGAACCUCCCCCGCCGGGUUCCUCUUCAAGUUCCUCGUCGUCCAGUUCUUCAUCAUCAUCUUCAGAGGACGAAGGAGAGACCACCUCUCGACGCAAGUCUAAAUCUAAGUCCAAGUCCAAAACACCGGACAAAUCGCCCAAGCGCAAAGAGAAGUCCAAGUCACCAAGUGUGGAGAAGACUGGAGAAGCAGAGAAAGAUAAAGAAAAAAAUGGAGAUGAUAAAGCGGAGUCGCUGAAUGACGUCAUUGUCGAGAAGAAAGAGUCACGCGCGCUGCACAAGACCACGUCUAUAUUCCUAAGGAAUUUAGCACCUACUAUUACUAAGGCAGAAGUUGAAGCUAUGUGCAAACGCUACGGCGGUUUUCUGCGUGUGGCGUUAGCAGACCCGCUACCUGAACGCCGAUGGUUCCGCCGCGGCUGGGUCACCUUCCGUCGGGAGGUCAACAUCAAGGAUAUCUGCUGGAACCUUAAUAACAUUCGGUUGCGCGAAUGCGAGCUAGGAGCGAUUGUGAACAGGGACCUGCAACGUCGCAUCCGCCCUGUAUCGGGGGUGACACUUGAACGACCAGUGCUGCGCGCCGACGCCCGCCUGGCCGCGAGACUGGCGCACCUCCUCGACACUCGCACCAAGCUGUGGGCUGCAGAGAACGCGGAGAACAACCAGGAAACCGAAAAAUCCUCUUCCGAUGUCCAAAAUUUCAGCUUAAACUCGAAGAACCCCGUACUUCACAAGAUUACAGAGCAUUUGAUUGAAGAAGCUUCUACUGAGGAGGAAGAGCUUCUAGGUCUCGAAGCGUCAUCGGACUCUACAACCGUGGAGCAAUCAGACCCGGAACUGGUUAGGGUGUUGGACCGCCUUGUGCUGUACCUGCGUAUAGUGCACUCAGUGGAUUACUACAACCAUUGCGAAUAUCCUUAUGAGGAUGAGAUGCCUAAUCGCUGCGGCAUUAUGCACGCUCGUUCUGGGCCACCGGCGAACAAGCCAUCUCAGCAAGAGGUACAAGAUUACAUCAAGACAUUCGAAAGCAAGAUGUCUGCUUUUCUGCAAGAUGUUAAGCCUCUUUCUGAUGAGGAAUUACAGAAACUUGGAAUCAAGGACCCUGAUGCAGAAGUCGAGAAGUUCAUACAAGCCAACACUCAGGAGUUGUCCAAAGACAAGUGGUUGUGUCCACUCAGUGGGAAGAAAUUCAAAGGGCCUGACUUUAUCAGAAAACACAUAUUCAACAAGCAUGCGGAGAAGGUGGAGGAGGUGCGGCGCGAGGUGUCGUACUUCAACGCGUACGUGCGCGACGUGCGCCGCCCGCAGCAGCCCGAGCCGCCCGCGCGCCCCGCGCCGCCCGCGCACCACGCGCCGCCGCCCGCGCCGUCAGUUGCAUUUAUUGUAUUCUAUUUCAGGGCCUUACAUCCACCGUUACACUACAGUAUUACACCCUCAAUAAAUUAUUAUCUAAAAGCCAUUAACAAGCUUGUUCAGAUUGGGACAUAAAUAAAUUGACAUUAAAUAGAACUUGACUGAAGACAAGCAGUUGAACGUGAAGAUGUAAAGCGUACCGUGAAGUAACAAGAAAGUAUUUACUUACUACACUAGUUUAUAACCUCACUUGUGUUCUCUAGAUUAUUAGAACGUCGACGGGACGGAGACGGAACGUGCUGUAAUUAGUGCCACGAUCUCGUCCCGUCCGUGCAUCCGUGACCUUUGCUCUUUCGAAUACAUUUUCUAUGGAACGAUAUUUCACUUCUUCGAUUAUCGUAUUUGUGUAUGUGUGGUAUCAGGUACGGCGGCGGCGCGGCGGGCGGAGCGGGCCCGGCGGCGCGCGGCUGGGGCUGGGGCGGGUGGGCGCCGCCCGCGCCCUACGCGCCCCGCCACCCGCGCUUCUCACGACCCAGGGAGAAUGUGGAUCGGUCCCGGCCGAUUAUUGCAUACAACGAUCUUGACUUCCCGGACAGUGGUGACAUAUUCUAAGCUAAGAUACAGACAAUGUGACCAUGACUUCUUGUAAUUGUUGUACUAAGCAUUCCGUUCUCUAAAUUGUCAGCGUGAUUACAUUUGCACAGUGGCGCUCACCAUCGAGCGGAUGUUACAAUGUACCACCAUAUAUGUUCAUGUUUUGCAUGUAUUUUUUUGUAUAUAAUAAAGACUCAUCACAUGUAGCAAAUGUAAUUGUGCGUUUCUUACAAACAUUCUUUAUACGCGUAUGAGUAUUUUUCUUUAAUAAUCACGGUGAUGACCGGUACAUUACCUAAGCAGUACUUUUUCACUUUAUUAUUAUAAUUGUAGUUUUGUUAACUUCACACUGACAAAGGUUUAUUAUAAACCAACUACUGCCCAUACGUUAGUUACGUAUACGUAUAUUUCUGACAUGAUAAUUUUAUUAAUGUUUUCCAUUUAUAUUUAUCGGCCGACAUGUUGUAUUGUAGAGUAAUACUAAAGUAAAAUAUCAAUAAGAUAAUUUAUACAUAGCAUAUUGACAUUAUACUAUCUGGAUAUACUUUGUUAUAUGAGAAGUUACAAUAAACUGUCCUAAAAUGUGACAUGUCCAUCUAUUUCUUCUCCACUCCUUUAAUCCAUUAUGUUGAAUAUCCCAUCCAUAGCAAUAAGCAACUCCCGGGAAGCUGAGAUUACCUUAAAAAAAAAUGCACGACUGUACAGAUUGUUUAGGGUAUAAUGAAAACAGGUCAGUUCCUUUGCAGUGAAAUCGCUCUUAAAAGCACGUUUACAGCAAAAAUAUAGUUUAGAAAUGGUUUGAAAAUAUAUUUUUUCGUCGGAAUUGGUCUGUUUUAUGAGCUGUGCAUUAUGAGUGUUGUUUGCGUGUCGUGAGAGAGUUGCUAUUAACAAAGCUGUUGAUUGUUAAAGGGGCGGCGGCGGCGGCGCCGAAUUCCGCCCGGUGAUUCACUACCGAGACCUGGACGCGCCACGCGAACCUGACGAAUUCAUAUAACAUCUAUUUUACCGCCACCACUUGCCAAAGGAUCUUAUUCUUCGAACAUUUAACACUAUUACUCGUAGAUGUCACAAAGUAAUGUAAAUAAUUUUAUGUUUUAUCAGUAUUGCAUACGGUUUACUUUAGUUGUAAGCUAGAGUUGAUGGUUAUGGUGAAACUUGAGUGUAUUGUUGAAAUACAUGUAAUUUUAUUGAAAACACGCUUUUUAAUAAACUUUGCAUUAUCAUAAACAGAA
rnacentral:misc_RNA from 1 species